rnacentral:sRNA from 1 species
CUUCUCGUCUGUAUUCCCGGCUGCUAUAGAGCCGGGUUAGAGAGCGAGCGCCCGUCCGCGGGCGUCGAGGGCGGGUUGCCUCGCGCUGACCCUUCCCGCCCUCGUUACACACCAGGUCCCCGCGGAAGCGGCGGUGUCGGCGCCAUGGCGGAGCUGACGGCUCUUGAGAGUCUCAUCGAGAUGGGCUUCCCCAGGGGACGCGCGUAAGGGAGUUCCCCAACCCCGGCCUGCGGGGGUGGGGGGGCCGCGGACCUGUCUCGGCCUUUGCCCCAGCCUGACCGUCACCAUGGCUCGUGGGCGCUAUUCAUGGUGUUUCUGCCCCCAGGGAGAAGGCUCUGGCCCUCACAGGGAACCAGGGCAUCGAGGCUGCGAUGGACUGGCUGAUGGAGCACGAAGACGACCCAGAUGUGGACGAGCCUCUAGAGACUCCCCUUGGACAUAUCCUGGGACGGGAGCCCACUUCCUCAGAGCAAGGCGGCCUUGAAGGUCCUGACUGAGGGUCACGGUGUGAUUAUUCAGGAGGGUCCGAGGAGAAU